CUGAGGAGAGGCGGUGACGGGAAGGGGGGGUCAGUGGAUUGUGCCCCAGAAACCGAAGCGGCGGCGUCUGUUCCUUCUACACUUGUCUCUAGGCUCCAGUGCGUUCGGGGCCCCGCCCGGCCGGGCCAGGCCGGCGGGCGGCGGCGGUAGCUGCUGCAGCCGCAGGAUAACCUUUCAGGGUGGGCCGGAGGGCGGGCGCCGCCGCUGCCUCUGCCGCGGCGAUGGCCCAGUGUGUACAAUCAGUGCAGGAGCUAAUCCCAGACUCCUUCGUCCCCUGUGUCGCUGCGCUGUGCAGCGACGAAGCCGAGCGGCUCACUCGUCUCAAUCACCUCAGCUUCGCGGAGCUGCUUAAGCCCUUCUCCCGCCUCACUUCCGAGGUUCACAUGAGAGAUCCUAAUAAUCAACUUCACGUAAUUAAAAAUUUGAAGAUAGCAGUAAGCAACAUUGUCACCCAGCCACCUCAGCCUGGAGCCAUCCGGAAGCUUUUGAAUGAUGUUGUUUCUGGCAGUCAACCUGCAGAAGGAUUAGUAGCUAAUGUGAUUACAGCAGGAGAUUAUGACCUUAACAUCAGUGAAAAUCAGCUGGGUGUGGUGGCACGCUCCUGUAAUCCCAGCUGCUUGAACCUGGGAGGCAGAGGUUGCAGUAAGCCGAGAUCCCGCCAUUGCAUUCCUGCUUGGACAACAGGAGCGAAACUCUGUCUCAAAAAAAAAAACCAAA
rnacentral:sRNA from 1 species